rnacentral:rRNA from 1 species
AUUGAACGCUGGCGGCAGGCUUAACACAUGCCAGUCGAGCGGUAGCACAGGGGAGCUUGCUCCCUGGGUGACGAGCGGCGGACGGGUGAGUAAUGUCUGGGAAACUGCCUGAUGGAGGGGGAUAACUACUGGAAACGGUAGCUAAUACCGCAUAACGUCGCAAGACCAAAGAGGGGGACCUUCGGGCCUCUUGCCAUCAGAUGUGCCCAGAUGGGAUUAGCUAGUAGGUGGGGUAAUGGCUCACCUAGGCGACGAUCCCUAGCUGGUCUGAGAGGAUGACCAGCCACACUGGAACUGAGACACGGUCCAGACUCCUACGGGAGGCAGCAGUGGGGAAUAUUGCACAAUGGGCGCAAGCCUGAUGCAGCCAUGCCGCGUGUGUGAAGAAGGCCUUCGGGUUGUAAAGCACUUUCAGCGAGGAGGAAGGUGGUGAGCUUAAUACGCUCAUCAAUUGACGUUACUCGCAGAAGAAGCACCGGCUAACUCCGUG